rnacentral:rRNA from 1 species
AAAUUGAAGAGUUUGAUCAUGGCUCAGAUUGAACGCUGGCGGCAGGCCUAACACAUGCAAGUCGAACGGUAACAGGAAGCAGCUUGCUGCUUUGCUGACGAGUGGCGGACGGGUGAGUAAUGUCUGGGAAACUGCCCGAUGGAGGGGGAUAACUACUGGAAACGGUAGCUAAUACCGCAUAACGUCGCAAGACCAAAGAGGGGGACCUUCGGGCCUCUUGCCAUCGGAUGUGCCCAGAUGGGAUUAGCUAGUAGG